UACGUAGGUGGCAAGCGUUAUCCGGAAUUAUUGGGCGUAAAGCGCGCGUAGGCGGUUUUUUAAGUCUGAUGUGAAAGCCCACGGCUCAACCGUGGAGGGUCAUUGGAAACUGGAAAACUUGAGUGCGGAAGAGGAAAGUGGAAUUCCAUGUGUAGCGGUGAAAUGCGCAGAGAUAUGGAGGAACACCAGUGGCGAAGGCGACUUUCUGGUCUGUAACUGACGCUGAUGUGCGAAAGCGUGG
rnacentral:rRNA from 1 species